rnacentral:rRNA from 1 species
GACGUAGGGCGCAAGCGUUGUCCGGAUUUAUUGGGCGUAAAGAGCUCGUAGGCGGCUUGUUGCGUCGUCCGUGAAAACCUGUGGCUCAACUACAGGCUUGCGGUCGAUACGGGCGGGCUGGAGUUCGGUAGGGGAGACUGGAAUUCCUGGUGUAGCGGUGGAAAUGCGCAGAUAUCUGGAGGAACACCGGUGGCGAAGGCGGCAUCCUGGACCAAUAUUGACGCUGAGGAGCGGAAAGCUAGGGGAGCAAACGGGG